GAUGAACGCUGGCGGCGUGCCUAAUACAUGCAAGUCGAGCGAACAGAUGAGGAGCUUGCUCCUCUGACGUUAGCGGCGGACGGGUGAGUAACACGUGGAUAACCUACCUAUAAGACUGGGAUAACUUCGGGAAACCGGAGCUAAUACCGGAUAAUAUAUUGAACCGCAUGGUUCAAUAGUGAAAGACGGUUUUGCUGUCACUUAUAGAUGGAUCCGCGCCGCAUUAGCUAGUUGGUAAGGUAACGGCUUACCAAGGCAACGAUGCGUAGCCGACCUGAGAGGGUGAUCGGCCACACUGGAACUGAGACACGGUCCAGACUCCUACGGGAGGCAGCAGGAGGGAAUCUUCCGCAAUGGGCGAAAGCCUGACGGAGCAACGCCGCGUGAGUGAUGAAGGUCUGCGGAUCGUAAAACUCUGUUAUUAGGGAAGAACAAAUGUGUAAGUAACUAUGCACGUCUGGACGGUACCUAAUCAGAAAGCCACGGCGAACUACGU
rnacentral:rRNA from 1 species